GCGACAACAGCAUACAACGAAUCGAGAAGCAUUGCAUGACUACGUAUUGCGGUUACCAGCUGUGAUGGUUUCGAAAUAAAAAUAACAAAAAAAAAGGCAUAAAGACAAGAGGUAUACUCACAUCCUUUCAAAGUUGCGUCGUCGAUGAAGGUCUGAUCGGUCUCAGUCGUCGACAGCUAGCUUAUAAGACCCUUCAUUUUUGUUUUAUUUCAAGGGAAGGAAGGAUCACGUGAAUGCAUCGUGGACAGCUUCUCCUUUCGCAGGAGCAGCAUGUGAAAUGCGAUACCUCUUGCCGACGCGCUCUUUUUUCUUCUUCUUUUGGUAUGAUAACACAACCGCGAAACACCCGUCUGGCUUUUUCCAAACGCUCUUUGGGAACACCAACCACACACACACAAAAAAAGAAACCGUUAUCGCCCUCGCAAGAUGAAUUUUCGACUGGUGGUAUACGCUGUCUGCCACGUACGAGCUUCCAGCAGUGAGUGUGCCACGUAAGAGCCAAGUGAUAUUUACUCCGUAUCUCGUCGGAUGACCAUUGCUGAGCCAAAGGCGUACGGCAGUUACUGCAGCUGGACAUCGGUGGACGUAGAUGUUAUGGUCAAUCUGAGUCACGGUAGUGCAUUUUCCCUGUUUCAGUGUUGGUUUUGUAAAUUCUGUUGUAGCUACGAAAACGAACAGGGAAACAGCACUCAGAAAGGACAAGGUGUAGCAGAACAUCUCCGGACAUCUAUUUACCAUGACGACCUACAGUAAAAUGAGACAACUCGUCAUGGAUUUCAAUAUUUAUUGGUAUGAGGACGGCGACAUUUUCCUUGGAGUUGAUGAUCCUGGGUAACGUCCCGCAUGCCGCACACAUCAUCACCCGAUUGGGACCAGGAAUCGCCAGCGUUGGUUGGCUGUUCGACAUCGGACCAGUGAUCGCCAGUCAUUUCGUCGUCGGUGGUGGCAGGUAGUUCUCCGGAACCCAAGUCCUUCUACGACUUCCAGAAGGUUGCAACAGUCGGUCCAACGUGUCCGAAGGAUCAUCGUCGUCAUCAUUGCAUCAGUGUACAAGUAAGCAUCAUGUCUUCGUCGAUCUUGCAUAAACUUGACAAGUUAAAGAAAUGUGGAGAGUUUCAAAAAAUGGCGACAAUUCCUAAAAACAUCAAGUAUGAUGUGGUUGAUGUUAACAAAAUUGAAACGAGGUAUGGCGAGGCGGUCUACGUAGAAAUUAUGAAGGAUCACGAGCACGUAAAGGUGUUCCUUCCAGCUCGGUUUCAUAAACUAAGCACUCAAGACAUCGAAGACAUGAGGAACACGAGCGGGCUCUGGAUGGAGAAGAAAGAGCGAGUUGGAAAAGAGGGGAAACGUCUUCUUUCGCCAGACAUCGUGUUCGGUCAAUCCGAGUAAAAAAAUAAAAAGAAAUGGUGACAUGCCACCUUUGUCCUCCGGCCGAUCGGCAGCACUACACAACAGCGCUGGGACUUCAAGUUCAUCUGGCUAACGUUCAUAACCUUGCAACACCCUGUAUCCCAUUUUGUGAGACACUCUGUACGCUCCGCAACUAUACCAACCGCUAUGAGCUUCAUCUACAUGACAGAGACGACGACGGGCAGGAUGUCAGCACAUUCUUUCAUGAAAACGGACGCUACCUUGCCGGUGUACUUCGACAUUUCGGAUUUCCGUUACGCUUUAUGUUUUGCUGAAGGCGGAACUCGGUCGACAUACGCCUGAGGAUGAGAUCAUAUUUGUCACUCAAUUUAUUCCUUCGAGUGUGCAUACGCUGUGGUCGGAACGAGACGUAGAACGUGCUGUCAUUGAAGUAGGCACUGAAGUCACCAACAAUUUAGAAAAGCUUGAAAUGCAAGGGUCGGGAUUUUUCUUAUUUCGAAUUCACGCCUGCAUUCUUCAUGUCGGUCGUCUCGCACCACAGCUCAUUGGUUGUACCGACUUUGAAUUGCCAAACGAAUUGAAAAAAAAGUGUCGGUGUCUUCUGAAUGUCGACCUUCACGAGGAUAGUGAACAGAACAUGUGUUUCGCAUUUUGCGUACUUGCCGGUCUACAUCCUGCAAAGGGUUCUUACAGACGCAGAGCUUCAUCCUACAGGUCAUACCUGUCUCAAUAUGUAUUUCCCGAGACGUUUCCUGUAGUGUUCCCGAAAGAUGUAGAAAUGUUUGAGAAGCAGAACGAUGUGAGCAUUAACGUGUACGGUUAUGACAAAGAUGAAAAAUAUGUUUACCCGAUUAAGGUUGUUGACGACCAGUGCAAGAAGCAUGUCGACCUACUGCUGAUUGACUUCCAUUUUGUACUCAUUACUAAUUUCAAUGCUUUGUUCACACACCUGGUUAUUUUCACUGCAAACGGUGUACGAUGGGUUUCACCACCCCGGGUGUACUCGCCGAUCAUCUACUAAUGUGUAAACAACAAAAAGUGUCCAAGACUAUUUUUCCAAAGAAGGGUGAGACACUGUCGUUUGCCGGAGAGCAUUUGAUGUCGGAAGUUCCCUUC